rnacentral:rRNA from 1 species
UCCGGAGGGUGCAAGCGUUGUCCGGAUUUAUUGGGUUUAAAGGGUGCGUCGGCGGUCCGUUAAGUCAGUGGUGAAAGCCUCCAGCUCAACUGGAGAACUGCCAUUGAUACUGACGGGCUUGAGUACAGACGAGGUUGGCGGAAUUGAUUGUGUAGCGGUGAAAUGCAUAGAUACAAUCAAGAACACCGAUUGCGUAGGCAGCUAACUAGGCUGUAACUGACGCUGAGGCACGAAAGCGUGGGGAGCGAACAGG